GGGAAAAGGAUGCUAAGGAUAGAGCUGCCAGGCAAGAGGAAAAGAGGAAGGCCUAAGAGAAGGUUUAUGGAUGCGGUGAGAGAGGACAUGCAGGUGAUGGGUGUAACAGAACAAGAUGCAGAGGACAGAAAGAUAUGGAAGAAGAUGAUCCACUGUGGCAACCCCUAACAGGAGCAGCCAAAAGAAGAAGAAGAAGAUUCUAUUACUC